AUAGCGAUUACGAUGAUGCCGACGAUACACAUGAAAACUUCAUAAGCGAUUUCAAUGAAAUGUUCUAUUAAGAAUGCACUGCUCAGCAGUGUGUACAUCAGGAACUAGAUGGCGACCAAAGGAUUCUGAUCUUUUUGUCCAUCAAGCAGCUAUGGAAGAUUAAUAGCUAAACAUAUCAUUUCAAAUUAACUUAGAAGGAUUGAUCCCUAAUCAUUAUUUAGCACCGUUUUUUGAAUAUGAGCCAGCAAAUUUAGUGAAUUUCACACAAAAACAAUAUGGCGGAUAUAGUAAAUAAAUGUCGAAUUUUUGAUGGCUCUAGCUCUCUUGAUUGCAAGUUUUCGGGAUGUAAACAGGCAGAUUUAUGUUAAGUGAGUACAUAUCAGUACAUCUA